AAUCAACGCUGGCGGCGUGCCUAACACAUGCAAGUCGAACGAGAAAGCGGGGGCAACUCCGCGAGUAAAGUGGCAGACGGGUGAGUAACACGUGAACAACUUACCCUCGAGUGGGGAAUAACCCCGCGAAAGCGGGGCUAAUACCGCAUAACAUCCUUGAGCCGCAUGGUUCAAGGAUCAAGGGCUCCGGUCGCUCGAGGAGAGGUUCGCGCCUGAUUAGCUAGUUGGUGAGGUAACGGCCCACCAAGGCGACGAUCAGUAGCCGGCCUGAGAGGGCGAACGGCCACACUGGAACUGAGACACGGUCCAGACUCCUACGGGUGGCUG
rnacentral:rRNA from 1 species